CCUACGGGGGGCUGCAGUGGGGAAUUUUGGACAAUGGGGGCAACCCUGAUCCAGCCAUGCCGCGUGCGGGAAGAAGGCCUUCGGGUUGUAAACCGCUUUUAUUUGGGAAGAAGGAGUAGGGGCUAAUACCCUCUAUGACGGACGGUACCGGAUGAAUAAGCACCGGCUAACUACGUGCCAGCAGCCGCGGUAAUACGUAGGGUGCGAGCGUUAAUCGGAAUUACUGGGCGUAAAGCGUGCGCAGGCGGUUCUGCAAGUCAGCUGUGAAAGCCCCGGGCUUAACCUGGGAACGGCGGUUGAAACUGCAGGACUAGAAUCUGGCAGAGGGGGGUGGAAUUCCACGUGUAGCAGUGAAAUGCGUAGAGAUGUGGAGGAACACCGAUGGCGAAGGCAGCCCCCUGGGCUAAGAUUGACGCUCAGGCACGAAAGCGUGGGGAGCAAACAGGCUUAGAUACCCCGGUAGUC
rnacentral:rRNA from 1 species